UACAGAGGGGGCAAGCGUUGUUCGGAAUUACUGGGCGUAAAGGGCGCGUAGGCGGCCUUCUAAGUCGAACGUGAAAUCCCCGGGCUCAACCCGGGAACUGCGUCCGAUACUGGAAGGCUUGAAUCCGGGAGAGGGAUGUGGAAUUCCAGGUGUAGCGGUGAAAUGCGUAGAUAUCUGGAGGAACACCGGUGGCGAAGGCGACAUCCUGGACCGGUAUUGACGCUGAGGCGCGAAAGCCAGGGGGGCAAACGGG
rnacentral:rRNA from 1 species